rnacentral:rRNA from 1 species
GACGAACGCUGGCGGCGUGCUUAACACAUGCAAGUCGAACGAUGACGACCGAGCUUGCUCGGUCUGAUUAGUGGCGAACGGGUGAGUAACACGUGAGCAACCUGCCCUUCACUCUGGGAUAACCUCCGGAAAUCGGGGCUAAUACCGGAUAUGAGCUCCUGUCGCAUGGCGGGUGUUGGAAAGUUUUUCGGUGAAGGAUGGGCUCGCGGCCUAUCAGUUUGUUGGUGAGGUAGUGGCUCACCAAGGCGAUGACGGGUAGCCGGCCUGAGAGGGCGACCGGCCACACUGGGACUGAGACACGGCCCAGACUCCUACGGGAGGCAGCAGUGGGGAAUAUUGCACAAUGGGCGAAAGCCUGAUGCAGCGACGCCGCGUGAGGGAUGACGGCCUUCGGGUUGUAAACCUCUUUCAGCAGGGAAGAAGCGAAAGUGACGGUACCUGCAGAAGAAGCGCCGGCUAACUACGUG